UUUCUUUCUUUCUUUCUUUCUUUCUUUCUUUCUUUUGCUUUCGUAUAAGGCUCUUUCCAUGUAGAACGCUUCCAUUUUCGAAUGGACUUUUAAUAUCAGCCGUUUGGAGACCUCUAGUCUUAAAAGCUAUUUCCCCCAGAGGGUUCCUUAGGGUCGCAGAGCCUGAAGGAUGUGGACCUUAAUGGAUUAGUGACUUGUCUCAGAGCCCCAGCACCAGGUGAGUGUCCUAAAGACUCCCUAGUGUGUGCCUUGAGCUAGUACUAAGGAAGGGAGGUAGGCAGCGUGGUACAGUCAGAAAACUGGAACCAAAUCUUUAGGCUACUUUGGAAAUUGUAAAAUGGCUUUAUUUAGAGGAAAACAUUUCCUCUGGCCAUGCUGAUCUCAAGAUUGUAGUUUUCGCUGCCCAGCCCAAGGGGCGUUUUGUAUGUAGUCUUUCCUUUAUUCCUUCCAGAUGCACUGUGACUUCGGGUCACACACACUCCCAACGACUCUACAGCCCACUUCUUUCCAGUAAAUAAGAGUGCUUGCUGACGAGGGCGAUUUGCAUGUUUGUUUGUUUGUUUGUUUGAUGGUGGGCUGGGCAAAAGUCGAGGGUCAGUGUUAGAUUAGAAUUUACCUCAAGGGACAUUUGCUUUGCAGAGAGUGUUAAUACAGAAAAACUUGAAAGUUUGGAGUUUUAGUUUCAUGCUAAAAUACUUGACUGUUAAUGGUAAAAUAGGGCUCCAGUUUAGUAAGGAGUGGCUUGCAGUGUAGACUCAGAUCUGCCUCUGUUCUGCUGAGCCCAGAGCAGGUUUGCUUGACAGCUUCUCAAACUAACAGUCCUGUAUUGUUAAGCCAAGGGCCAGGUGAAUGACUUCACGUGGAACUGUCCCUCCCCCCGCCACCAUGAUAUAUGUAAUUCUGAAAUUUUAUGAUAAAAUUCGUCCCUUGACUUUGUGUCUGUAAUAAAGUGCAGCACUUGUAAAAAGAAGAAGACAAAACAUUGGGAUAAUUUAUCCGAUGCAGCUGUUUUAUUUAUCUUGUCUCCUUGUCCUUUCAGACAGGUCCCUAGAUCUCGGGACUCUUGACUUCUUAGGUUGCCUCCCUGUCCUAUACUCAGUGGAUGUCCUAACAGUGACAACCAGCACUGUCUCCAGAUACCGCCAAAUGUCCCACAGGACAUACAGUUGUUCCUGAUAGAGAAUUGCUGCUCCAAAAUAAUUGUGUAUGACUUUUAAAAGUAGAUCUUUGAAGUAGGUAGCAGGGAUGAGAUUAUUAUAUUCAAAGUCAUUGAUUCUCUUGAUUUAUUCUCAUGAGGCAGGGAAGGGGGGGAGGACCCCACAGACUUAUUGAGCUCAGCUGAAGGGCUAACAAGAAGCUUACUCUGUAGGGAAAAAAGCUGGAAAGAAAGUUUCUUUGUUCUGCUAAGUUUUUGGUACCCUGUCUCUGAGGAUAGCUUGGAAAGAACGCUUCUUGAGCAAAAUGGAGAAACUCCCUGGGAACCAGGCAUCUAGGACGUUGAUGAGGAGGUCAGAGUCUUCGAGAAGCACAGAAUGGUUGGGUCCUGUUGAUUUAAGGGUUAGAGGGACCAAGGACCCUUGCUGCUUCUCUUACCCCUGCUCUCACUGUGUGUGAAUGUCCCACCAUGUUGGAAUGGAGCAAUUUCUGGGAUCAUCAGGCUUCUUGGUAUAUUCAGACUCUGCCUGGUGUUGACAUUUGACAUUUCAUAGCUUGCUGUACUACUUAUGACUGCUUGUUUCACACAGUCUUGGUCAUUGGCGUUCCUCCCCUAGUGUGGCAUUGCCUUUAGGAUCUCUGGGCACCGGCAGGCACUGAACAUGACUGCUUGUUCCUGUUUGGGUUACAACUUCCACACACACCUCAAACAUACUGCCACAGUUGUUCUUCUUUCUAGAUUCCUUCAGUUUCAAUUAUGUUGUUAGGUCUACAUGGUUUGUCUCAUGCUUUGGCUUAAAACAGAAAUAUUUUUUACAAGGGUCAGAAUGUCCUACUUUCCCUGUCUUCCUUCCCUUCUACAUCUCAAGGUUCCAGAAAUUUCACGAGGCCCGUGAGCUGAAGAAUAUGUUUUGCUAAUUUACAAAUGAAAAAAGUGGGAGGAGCAUCCUUCUUCCCUUUUUGGAAUUUUCUGUCACCAUGAGCUGUGUCUCCACAGGCUCUGGAUUCACCCAUUCACGUGGUUCUGCUUUUCUGUUGAGGGAGCACGUGCUGUGUGGUUGGCUGGCUCCUGCUCCGCUGCCUGCCUUCUCUGUGCCUUAGAUUCCUCACAUGUAAAGGAGAGACAAGCAGUGCCUGCUUGCAGCUGACAGUGAUUUAAGGCAUUGACUAGUAUAGUGUGCAUGCAUGCCUGUAUUCUCAGCUCUUCCAAGACUCGGGAGUCAGACAGGAGAGUUCCCAAGAAUUAGAGAGGCCAGCCUGGGUGACAGUGAGAAUCUCUCCAGAAACCAAAACUAGGAAAAAAAAAAAAAAAAAAGAGUGUUUUUUAA